UACAUAGGUAACCUACGCCUCGGACUGGGAUAAUUCCUGGAAACGGGUUGUAAUACCAGAUGGUCUGGUUGGUCUGCAUGGGCUGAUCARUAAAUGGUACCAUUGGUUCUGCCGAGGAAGGGGCCUAUGUCCCAUUAGCUAGUUGGUAGGGUAACGGCCUACCAAGGCUAUGACGGGUACCCGGUCUGAGAGGAUGGUCGGGCACACUGGGACUGAGACACUGCCCCGACUCCUACGGGAGGCUGCAGUCGAGGAUCUUCCGCAAUGGGCGAAAGCCUGACGGAGCGACACCGCGUGCAGGKUGAAGGCCUUCGGGUUGUAAACUGCUGUCACGCUAUAGGAACCCCGCAAGGGUUGACUAAAGCGAGAGGAAGCAACGGCUAACUCUGUGCCAGCAGCCGCGGUAAGACAGAGGUUGCAAACGUUGUUCGGAAUCACUGGGCAUAAAGCGCACCUACGCGGCUGACUAAGUCAGAUGUG
rnacentral:rRNA from 1 species